CGGGGUGUAGCUCAGCCUGGCUAGAGCGUCUGGUUUGGGACCAGAAGGCCCGAGGUUCGAAUCCUCGUGCCCCGA
rnacentral:tRNA from 1 species